CUAAGCAAGCAUUCUGCCACUGAGGUACAGCCAGCUCUUGUCUGAUCUUGGAAGCUAAGCAGGGUCAGGCCUGGUUAGUACUUGGAUGGGAGUCCUUUUAAUUUUUCAUUUUAGCCUCUUGCUAAAU
rnacentral:rRNA from 1 species